rnacentral:rRNA from 1 species
UACGGAGGGGCUAGCGUUGUUCGGAAUUACUGGGCGUAAAGCGCACGUAGGUGGCUUUGUAAGUUAGAGGUGAAAGCCCGGGGCUCAACUCCGGAAUUGCCUUUAAGACUGCAUCGCUAGAACGUCGGAGAGGUAAGUGGAAUUCCGAGUGUAGAGGUGAAAUUCGUAGAUAUUCGGAAGAACACCAGUGGCGAAGGCGACUUACUGGACGACUGUUGACACAUGAGGUGCGGAAAGCGAUGGG